UGAGGGAUAUUGGUCAAUGGGGGAAACCCUGAACCAGCGACGCCGCGUGGGUGACGAAGGUCUUCGGAUCGUAAAGCCCUUUUCUGCGGGAAGAGAGAGGACGGUACCGCAGGAAGAAGUCUCGGCUAACUACGUGCCAGCAGCCGCGGUAAAACGUAGGAGACAAGCGUUAUCCGGAGUUACUGGGCGUAAAGGGCGUGUAGGCGGCCUUCUAAGUGGGUUGUGAAAGCGACUGGCUCAACCGGUCGAGGCCGACCCAGACUGGGAAGCUAGAGGGCGGUAGAGGGGUGUGGAAUUCCGGGUGUAGUGGUGAAAUGCGUAGAGAUCCGGAGGAACACCAGAGGCGAAGGCGACACUCUAGGCCGCACCUGACGCUGAGACGCGACAGCACGGGGAGCGAAC
rnacentral:rRNA from 1 species